GUUUUUGAAACAGUCACUCCAUUUUCAAAGUCUGUCUUUCCUUACAGAAUGUAGAAAUUAUUUUGACAUAGGUUGUCAAACCUGAGCACUAAGAGGAACACUGUCGUAAUAACUUGGUUAUCCAUAAAUGUUCAUUCCAAUAGGACUCUGUUACUGAAUUGAAGGAAGAUAACUUCAGUACACUCUUUUAGGUCAUGCUAGUUGCCAUUUUGUAAAAUUUCUUUUCUCUCCUUUGUUUUUUUCCUUAUUUAGUUUAAUUUUUCUAAUGGUAGGAAAUAUAAAAUAACCCUAGAUGUUUCCAUGGGCCAGUGUGAUGACUGGUUUUUAGUUUUUGUUUUUUUUAACUGGCUCCAAUGCUGCCAUGUGUAUUUACUAGGAGAUAAUGCAUUUAUAAGUAUUUUAACAUUCUGUAAAGUGGACUAGAAAUAUUUAUAAUUUUACAGACACCACAGC
rnacentral:lncRNA from 1 species